rnacentral:rRNA from 1 species
UGGGGGCACCUGCUGGAGCGACGCCGCGUGGAGGACGAAGGUUUUCGGAUUGUAAACUCCUGUCAUGAGAGAACAAAGCCAGCAAUGGUCUGAUAGUAUCUCAAGAGGAAGGGACGGCUAACUCUGUGCCAGCACCCGCGGUAAUA